rnacentral:hammerhead_ribozyme from 1 species
AUCCAGCUAAAAAGUCCCAAAUAGGACGAAAUGCAUGUCAAACUGGAU